rnacentral:rRNA from 1 species
GACGAACCACACGAACGUUAUUCGGAAUUACUGGGCUUAAAGGGUGCGUAGGUGGGCAGGUAAGUCAGUGGUGAAAUCUCCGGGCUUAACCCGGAAACUGCCAUUGAUACUAUCAGUCUUGAAUACCGUGGAGGUAAGCGGAAUAUGUCAUGUAGCGGUGAAAUGCUUAGAUAUGACAUAGAACACCAAUUGCGAAGGCAGCUUACUACCCGAAUAUUGACACUGAGGCACGAAAGCGUGGGGAUCAAACAGG